UACGUAGGGGGCAAGCGUUGUCCGGAAUCACUGGGCGUAAAGGGCGCGUAGGCGGCCUGAUAAGUAGGGGGUGAAAUCCUGCGGCUUAACCGCGGGGCUGCCUUCUAAACUGUCAGGCUUGAGCACAGUAGAGGCAGGUGGAAUUCCCGGUGUAGCGGUGGAAUGCGUAGAGAUCGGGAAGAACAUCAGUGGCGAAGGCGGCCUGCUGGGCUGUUGCUGACGCUGAGGCGCGACAGCGUGGGGAGCAAACAGG
rnacentral:rRNA from 1 species